UACGUCUAUAUCACGUUGAAACACCGGUUCUCGGAUGAACAUCGAAGUUAAGCUACAUCGAGCCUGGUCAGUACCUAGAUAGGUGACAACUUAGAAAUACCAAGUGCUGUAAG